UACGUAGGGGACAAGCGUUGUUCGGAAUUACUGGGCGUAAAGGGAGCGUAGGCGGGCCCAUAAGUUAGGAGUUUAAUGCACAGGCUUAACCUGUGACCUGCUCUUAAUACUGUGGGUCUUGAGUUUGGAAGAGGGAGAUGGAAUUCCAGGUGUAGCGGUGGAAUGCGUAGAUAUCUGGAAGAACACCAGCAGCGAAGGCGGUCUCCUGGUCCUAUACUGACGCUGAGGCUCGAAAGCUAGGGGAG
rnacentral:rRNA from 1 species